UACGGGGGGGGCAAGCGUUGUUCGGAAUUACUGGGCGUAAAGGGCUCGUAGGCGGCCAACUAAGUCAGACGUGAAAUCCCUCGGCUUAACCGGGGAACUGCGUCUGAUACUGGAUGGCUUGAGUUCGGGAGAGGGAUGCGGAAUUCCAGGUGUAGCGGUGAAAUGCGUAGAUAUCGGGAGGAACACCUGUGGCGAAAGCGGCUCACUGGACAGUAACUGACGCUGAUGCACGAAAGCUAGGGGAGCAAACAGGA
rnacentral:rRNA from 1 species